rnacentral:lncRNA from 1 species
UAUGCUGGACAAAGGAAUGAUUCACGUCCCUACAUGAGACAGAGCAGGAUGGCCUGAGAUUUCAUCAUACUACUCAGAAUAGCACACAAUUUUAAACUCAUGAAUUUUUCUUUCUAGAAUUUUCUAUGUAAUAUUUUUGUACUGCAGUUGACUGUGGGUAACUGAGACUGGAAAAAGUGAAACCACAGGAACACAACAAGAAGGUCCUCAUCACACCAAAUACUGGCACCUUGGUCUUGGACUUCCAGCCUCCAGAACUGCCAACAGAAAGACUAGACUGGAAACGAGGUUAGCAGCUGACACUUCCAUCCACAGAAUGCAUUUCAAUUAAUGGAAGGAGAAGAAACUCUCAAGUGUAUUGGAUGAGGGACAAACUGGACUGUUAACGUUUCAACUGAA